CGGGGGAGGCCGGAUCCUGGGAUGUGUCCUGGUGCCCUGUGCUCCGGGGCCUGCGCUGUUGGAUUCCCGUUCACGGCCGCGCAGCCGCCU
rnacentral:pre_miRNA from 1 species